AUGGCAUGAGGAAUGCUGACUGCUCUAAACGUUGAACUUCUAGAAGCUUGAACCCAUUGACUUGCCGCGAGUAAUUACUUCAGGAAGACUCCUGAGCCAGCGAGAAGCCAGGACAAUGCACAAAGCAAAGCAGGUACCAGAAAAGAAAAUGCAAACUCCAAUGUAUACUUCUGAGAACAGACAAUAUUUGCAUAAGAUGCAAAUGCUGGAAAUGAUCUGUAAAAGACAAGAGGCCCAAAUGGAGUUAAAGAAAAGUCUUCAUGGAGAGGCAAGAAUUAAUAAGCAAAGUCCAAGGGACCAUAAAGCCAAGAAAACUCUUCAAAGCACCCCAAGGAAUGAUGACCAUGACCUUCUAACCAUGUUGCCUGAUGAAAUCUUGAACAGAGGUCCCGGGCAAACCCACAGUUGAAAUUUCCAAUAUUGUCCACACACACAGAUUGCUGUGCUGUGGGCCAAAUCCCCACAUCAGCAGGACUGACCCACCACUGAGAGAGCUGCAGA
rnacentral:sRNA from 1 species